CUAACAGGGCCCUCCCUGAACCUCAGGGAGGUGAGUUCCCAGAGAACGGGUCUCCGCGCGAGGGCAGACUGGGCAGGAGAUGCCAUGAGACCCCGCCCUUGAGGAGGGGCCUGGCGGAUGCCUCCUGAGCCGGAGCUUGGAACAGACUCACGGCCAGCGAAGUGAGUUCAAUGGCUGAGGUGAGGUACCCCGUCAGGGGGCCUCAUAACCCAAUUCAGACUACUCUCCCUCCGAC
rnacentral:lncRNA from 1 species